CGCCCCCCGGGUCCCGGGGAGCCGGGCCUGGCGCCCCUGGUUAUGGGGCCGAAGGGCCCCGGGAAAUGGCAGAGGCGCAGCGACGAGCAUUAGAGAAGGGAAAUUUGUUGAGACUGGACGGAAUUAAAAGAAUGUAUUUAAGUGACUUCCUUUCAUACUCCAAUGCCAUUCUUGAUGCACAGAGAGUGUCAGAUGACAUCCACUUCUCUCUCCUGAGAUAACUCUGGAAUAACUCUUGAGCUUUCACAAUUUCAUAUAAUCGAUGACUAUGAAGUUUUACAGCAUGUUAUCUUUUUGCUUCAGUUGAAUGACUUCCUUUGGGAACAAUCCAUAAGAGAGAGGAAUUUUUUUUUUUUUUUAAAGAGAAUGGAAAGCAACAACAGCUGGGUGUGAUCCUAUCAGCGGGAAACAUCCUCACUCCUGGCUGAUUCACAAAUUGCCCCUGUCUUGCUUGCCAUUUCAAAUAGAGAGACAGAACAUAGAAUGGACGAGAAAAUUAAAGAGGCUUCAGAUACACACAAAUUCUACUCACGGAGCAAUGGAGCAUCAGCUGGUGUAGGGAUGCUGGACAGCCCAUGGGAGCCGGAAGUCUAUAACCUUCUUCAAUGGACAGAAUGACCUAAAUGCAAACAUACACAGAUCAUUACACCAGGACCAUUACAUAAUAAAGAAGAGUUUGGAAAAUCUAAUCAGAGACAAAAAUUGGAAAUGACUGGACUCUCUGAGUCAUAAAAUCAUACUGCAUUUCUAAGACCCGCUUGGCAACUCCAGCCCGUAUCAGCAUCCCAGUUUUCUCCUCUAGAGUCACUAGCCCGCCCCCUACAGUGAUCUUCUCACAGAAAAGCUUUGAGGAGCCAGAGGCAACAAAUGGAUUGUCGGUAGACAAGCUCUGAGUCAGUUCCUAUAAUUCAGACUCGUCUUGUCCAGGUUGAGGAAAUCUGUCUGCUUUGGUGCAGCGAGUUCUGUUCUAUGCCUACCUUCCUGCCAUGGCACGACCAGCGCCCUCCCGAGACCGAAGACAUUAUUUCACACAUCUGCUUCUCUCGUGAGUAUAACAGAAGAAUGAAGAAUGUUCGUCUGUCAUCCAAGAACAUUAUCUGUGGUUAGAUGCUGGCAGCCAGAUUUCUGCCUACAGCUGGAUCUGCCUGAUAAUGAUUCUCCAAGUAAAUCCUGCCUUUCCCUGAGUGUUUCUCUUCUCUUCGUUGGUGGGGUUUGAUACAGUGGGCUUUCACUCCUUGUGCCAAGGACCUUUGUGUAGGUGUUCCCUGAGGUCUCGCAGGGUUUUGGAUGUUACUGACUCCAUAGCUGACCAGCUGUUUGGCUUUGGGCUGAAAUGGGCCUACAGCUGUCUCAUCAAGGGCUGUGAUACAUCAGAUAGAGCAGCACUGUGACCUCAAAUUACCCAUUGUCAAAAAGGCGAGCUCUGAGUGUACGGCCGAGGAGGGGAGACAAGAUGACAUAAUGACAUCUUUAGAGGCAGCCUGUUUGGGGCCAGCCACUCAACAGAGGAGAGGCACAAUCUUCCGAAAAACUGAGGAAGCAUUACUCUAUGGAAAGGACGGGGCUCAGGAGCUCACAUCCAAAGGCCGAUACACCUGACACCAAAGCAGAGGAGGAUCAGCUGUUUGGGAUGGCCAUGGGAAGAAGCAGAAAGAUGACACAACAGAGCAGAUUUUCCCAGUGAAUAAAUUUUGGAGAAGCAAUGCUUGUAAAAUAAGCUUCCAGCUUGUUUUGCUCAGACUUUAAGUGUAUCACUUCGGUUCUGAAGCCUUGUUCAUUGCGGACAGCAGAUGGCUCUGGAGGACAUAUCUGAAAUGCUGAGUGACGGAAUCUGGAUGUAUUUGGCUGCAGACAGAACGAAGAAAG